GGUUACUGCUAUCGGUGUUCGCCUAAGCCAUGCGAGUCAUAUGUUCUUCGGAACAUGGCGUACUGCUCAGUAACACGUGGAUAACCUGCCCUUGGGUCCGGCAUAACCCCGGGAAACUGGGGAUAAUUCCGGAUAACGCACAUAUGCUGGAAUGCUUUUUGCGUAAAAUGGAUUCGUCUGCCCAAGGAUGGGUCUGCGGCCUAUCAGGUAGUAGUGGGUGUAAUGUACCUACUAGCCUACGACGGGUACGGGUUGUGAGAGCAAGAGCCCGGAGAUGGAUUCUGAGACAUGAAUCCAGGCCCUACGGGGCGCAGCAGGCGCGAAAACUUUACAAUGCGGGAAACCGUGAUAAGGGGACACCGAGUGCCAGCAUCCUAUGCUGGCUGUCCGGGUGUGUAAAAUACACCUGUUAGCAAGGGCCGGGCAAGACCGGUGCCAGCCGCCGCGGUAACACCGGCGGCCCGAGUGGUGAUCGUGAUUAUUGGGUCUAAAGGGUCCGUAGCCGGUUUGGUCAGUCCUCCGGGAAAUCUGACAGCUCAACUGUUAGGCUAUCGGAGGAUACUGCCAGACUUGGAACCGGGAGAGGUAAGAGGUACUACAGGGGUAGGAGUGAAAUCUUGUAAUCCCUGUGGGACCACCUGUGGCGAAGGCGUCUUACCAGAACGGGUUCGACGGUGAGGGACGGAAGCUGGGGGCACGAACCGGAUUAGAUACCCGGGUAGUCCCAGCCGUAAACGAUGCUCGCUAGGUGUCAGGCAUGGCGCGACCGUGUCUGGUGCCGCAGGGAAGCCGUGAAGCGAGCCACCUGGGAAGUACGGCCGCAAGGCUGAAACUUAA
rnacentral:rRNA from 1 species